CAUAAGGAACAUAAAUAUGCCAUCCAUUCAUUUGUUUGCAUCUCACAUCAUGCCGUUCUGUUAUAGUUUGCAUCGCACCUAAUAAAUAAACGCGGAGUAUUUUGGAAUUACCGGAUAAGAAUUCCCCGCUCCGUUUAAUACUGAAAUAGCACACCUCUGCCAUGUUGUGCCAUGCUAUUCAACCUUUAACCUUGCCGGUAGAAAUGCAACUUCAACCUAAUUUGUUUGUCCGGGGUUUCCGACUCCGCUUAAAUUGGAUAAGUUGCAUCGCCGCAUCAUGUUUGCCAUGCCAUGCAUAUCAUAUCAUGAUCAUGCCGAUUCUUUUGCCGUAGUAGUAAGAUGUGCAUCCGUUGAUUGUCGUAGCGAUUUGCUUCUUCCCGGAUAGGAUCGCGAAGUGGUGUGGUGAGAUACGACAAGUUCUCCGGAUGUCCCUCGGCAAGUAUGAAGAUAUGUUCGAUGAAGAUGACGCUAGCAAGGUUACCCUUCCGGCUUGGCCUGGGCAGGGUUAUGGACGCCACUGGUUAUCUUCAGGACUCUUAGUCCAAUUUGUAUCUUGUCCGUACUCGGAUGUAUUUGAUCUUCUGUAUGAUUUGGAUCUUUGUAUGUAUCUAUUUGUAUCUUGACUCGUUGGAGUCGUUGUUGUAAUAUAUCUGUAUCUUGUGGGCUCUA